rnacentral:piRNA from 1 species
UGUGAUUAAUGGCCACUUGUGCUAGGACC